rnacentral:rRNA from 1 species
UACGAAGGGGGCUAGCGUUGUUCGGAAUUACUGGGCGUAAAGGGCGCGUAGGUGGCUUGGCAAGUUGGAUGUGAAAGCCCAGGGCUCAACCCUGGAAUUGCAUUCAAGACUGCUUUGCUUGAAUUCGGUAGAGGUUGGUGGAAUUCCCAGUGUAGAGGUGAAAUUCGUAGAGAUUGGGAAGAACACCCGUGGCGAAGGCGGCCAACUGGACCGACAUUGACACUGAGGCGCGAAAGCGUGGGGAUCAAACAGG